CGCCAGUUGAUCAUUUGGCGUCGGCGAUAUGGAAGAACUACGCUCCUAACAAGUGUCGCCUUUUCAUCUGGCUGGCACACAAGGACCGUGUCUAUACGAACGAAAGGCGCUUCCGAAGAUCUAUAGCUACUUCCGAUGCAUGCCCACUUUGCGGGCAAUGCGAGAGUAUUGAUCACCUGCUCUUCACCUGUCGGCGGCUUCGACCUCUUUGGGAUCAACUGUCAAGCCUUCAAGACGUUCGACCUAUCAACCUUCUCCACAUUUGGCAGUCUUCCAUUCAAGAUAAAGUUCGCUCCACCGUGAUCAUGGCUUUACUCUGGAACAUUUGGAAGAGACGCAACGCCAAGGUUUUUCGGAACGACAACCAAGGGAUCCACUGCAUCGCCCGGGCGGCGGCCGACGACCUGGUCUUAUGGUCCAAUAGAUGUGCCAAUAUUCCGAGAAAAAACUUGAUUCGGGACUGGGCCUCCAUGUUGUUUCAUCUUGCUGCGAGAUUGUAACCCCUAAAUAGUUGUUUUUCUCUUGCCCCCGUCACCUCUUUCCUAUUGUAACCCUAUGUCCAUCUUUGUAACUGGAUGUUGCUGUGAUAAUAUAUGUUCAGGCCGGCAUAAGCCCGCCGUUGACGCGUCAAAAAAAAA
rnacentral:rRNA from 1 species